CGGCUCAGUAACACGUGGAUAACUGCCCUAAGGUGGAGGAUAACCCCGGGAAACUGGGGAUAAUACUCCAUAGGUUAAAGGUACUGGAAUGUUCUUUAACCGAAAGUUCCGGGCGCUUUAGGAUGGAUCUGCGGCCGAUUAGGUUGUUGUUGGGGUAGUGGCCCAACAAGCCUGUAAUCGGUACGGGUUGUGGGAGCAAGAGCCCGGAGAUGGAAUCUGAGACACGACUCCAGGCCCUACGGGGCGCAGCAGGCGCGAAAACUUUACAAUGCAGGAAACUGUGAUAAGGGAACCCCGAGUGCCCGUAUAUGCGGGCUGUCCGGAUGUUUAAAACGCAUCCGAAGAAAGGGCCGGGCAAGACCGGUGCCAGCCGCCGCGGUAAUACCGGCGGCUCGAGUGGUGGCCACUUUUAUUGGGCUUAAAGCGUUCGUAGCUUGAAUAAUAAGUCUCUUGGGAAAUCUGCAGGCUUAACCUGCAGGCGUUUAAGAGAAACUGUUGUUCUAGGAACCGGAAGAGGUGAGAGGUACUCCGGGGGUAGGAGUGAAAUCCUGUAAUCCCCGGGGGACCACCGAUGGCGAAGGCAUCUCACCAGGACGGCUUCGACAGUGAGGAACGAAAGCUGGGGGAGCGAACCGGAUUAGAUACCCGGGUAGUCCCGGCCGUAAACGAUGUGCGUUAGGUGUGCCGGUGACCACGAGUCACUGGGGUGCCGAAGGGAAACCGUGAAACGUACCGCCUGGGAAGUACGGUCGCAAGGCUGGAACUUAAAGGAAUUGGCGGGGGAGCACAAGGG
rnacentral:rRNA from 1 species